rnacentral:rRNA from 1 species
GGCUGCAACUCGCCUAGAUGAAGCUGGAAUCGCUAGUAAUCGCGGAUCAGCAUGCUGCGGUGAAUACGUUCCCGGGCCUUGUACACACCGCCCGUCACACCACGAGAGUUUGUAACACCCGAAGUCGGUGGGGUAACCUUUUUGGAGCCAGCCGCCUAAGGUGGGACAGAUGAUUGGGGUGAAGUCGUAACAAGGUAGCCGUAUCGGAAGGUGCGGCUGGAUCACCUCCUUU